rnacentral:rRNA from 1 species
UACGUAGGGUGCGAGCGUUGCCCGGAUUUAUUGGGCGUAAAGGGCGCGUAGGCGGCGGACACAGUCAGAUGUGAAAUUCCCGGGCUCAACCUGGGGGCUGCAUUUGAUACGUGUUUGCUUGAGUGGGGAAGAGGGUCGUGGAAUUCCCAGUGUAGAGGUGAAAUUCGUAGAUAUUGGGAAGAACACCGGUGGCGAAGGCGGCGACCUGGUCCUUGACUGACGCUGAGGCGCGAAAGCGUGGGGAGCAAACAGG